rnacentral:rRNA from 1 species
CCUACGGGAGGCAGCAGUGGGGAAUAUUGGACAAUGGGCGAAAGCCUGAUCCAGCCAUGCCGCGUGUGUGAAGAAGGCCUUCGGGUUGUAAAGCACUUUCAGUGGGGAAGAAAGCCUUGGGGCUAAUACCCUCGAGGAAGGACAUCACCCACAGAAGAAGCACCGGCUAACUCCGUGCCAGCAGCCGCGGUAAUACGGAGGGUGCGAGCGUGUAAUCGGAAUUACUGGGCGUAAAGCGCGCGUAGGCGGUCUGAUAAGCCGGUUGUGAAAGCCCCGGGCUCAACCUGGGAACGGCAUCCGGAACUGUCAGGCUAGAGUGCAGGAGAGGAAGGUAGAAUUCCCGGUGUAGCGGUGAAAUGCGUAGAGAUCGGGAGGAAUACCAGUGGCGAAGGCGGCCUUCUGGACUGACACUGACGCUGAGGUGCGAAAGCGUGGGUAGCAAACAGGAUUAGAUACCCCUGUAGUC